AGAACAAGUGCUGAUUACACACACACGAUAACCUCUAUCCACGUCGGCACCUCAGUUUAUAACAAUAUAUUUUUUUAUUAGCACUUAAAGUAUAAUAUUUAACUAGACCAAAGCCAAAGAAUUUUGUCAAAAUCAAUGCCUAUUAAUUCCAAUGAAAUUAUUUUUCAUUAAAUACAAAAUUGAGGAUAAUUACCUUCUUGUCUUCUUCAUAUGGAUGUACUUUGCCAUCAGUGGCUUUCGGUCUGGGUCACAAGCUGGCUUAGUGUACAGAGGCUUACCAAAUAAAUCAAGCACAACAUUUCCAUCCUCAUCAUAGAACAGUUUGCCUUCUUUGUUGUAAACAGGUUUGGCAUCAUUGUUAUAC